CUACGGGUGGCAGCAGUGGGGGAUAUUGCACAAUGGGCGAAAGCCUGAUGCAGCAACGCCGCGUGAAGGAAGACGGUUUUCGGAUUGUAAACUUCUAUCAGCAGGGAAGAAAAUGACUGUACCUGACUAAGAAGCCCCGGCUAACUACGUGCCAGCAGCCGCGGUAAUACGUAGGGGGCAAGCGUUAUCCGGAAUUACUGGGUGUAAAGGGUACGUAGGCGGCUGAUCAAGUCAGAUGUGAAAGCCCGGAGCUCAACUCCGGGACUGCAUUUGAAACUGGUCGGCUAGAGUGCAGGAGAGGAAAGUGGAAUUCCUAGUGUAGCGGUGAAAUGCGUAGAUAUUAGGAAGAACACCAGUGGCGAAGGCGGCUUUCUGGACUGUAACUGACGCUGAGGUACGAAAGCGUGGGGAGCGAACAGGAUUAGAUACCCUAGUAGUC
rnacentral:rRNA from 1 species